UGAACGCUGGCGGCAGGCCUACCACAUGCAAGUCGCGCGGAUGAAGGGAGCUUGCUCCUGGAUUCAGCGGCGGACGGGUGAGUAAUGCCUAGGAAUCUGCCUGGUAGUGGGGGAUAACGUCCGGAAACGGGCGCUAAUACCGCAUACGUCCUGAGGGAGAAAGUGGGGGAUCUUCGGACCUCACGCUAUCAGAUGAGCCUAGGUCGGAUUAGCUAGUUGGUGGGGUAAAGGCCUACCAAGGCGACGAUCCGUAACUGGUCUGAGAGGAUGAUCAGUCACACUGGAACUGAGACACGGUCCAGACUCCUACGGGAGGCAGCAGUGGGGAAUAUUGGACAAUGGGCGAAAGCCUGAUCCAGCCAUGCCGCGUGUGUGAAGAAGGUCUUCGGAUUGUAAAGCACUUUAAGUUGGGAGGAAGGGCAGUAAGUUAAUACCUUGCUGUUUUGACGUUACCAACAGAAUAAGCACCGGCUAACUUCGUG
rnacentral:rRNA from 1 species